UAAACAAUUGCUGACACCCCAUCUUCCCUCUUUCCACUUUCAUGCUAAAUCUCAGUCCCUUUCAACUUUCGACAGAAGAAGUACACGAAAUGUUUGCACAAACUCAUCUUGCUGCAAUAUUAGUCGAUAGAAAGGUAUUUAAAAUAACAUGUCAAAACUCUAAUACUUAGAAUCAGUUUUAGGCCACUCAUGGAAUCCAUGAGUUAUCCUUUGUAUGCUAGUACAUGAAUUGGUUUGAACUUUUGGAAAUGACAUGUGUGUUUUCGUAUGGACUUUAGCAGAUUUAACCUUAAAGAUUUUCACUUGACUAACUAAUGUUAAAAUAAUUCUCUAUAAGGUAGUGUCUUUCUCCGUUGCUCUCGUUUUGUCACUUAGAAAACAUGUUUGUAGGAUUUUAGCAAAAGGCCUUCAUUUGUUAAAAAGAGAAUGUUCUUUGUUUAUUUUUCUGUCAUAUCUAGAAAGAUUGUUUUGGGGGAGAGGUUAGAAAGAAAAUACUUGUGCUGGAAUUUAGGAAGUUUGUUAAAAGUUUGAAAGUAUGGGAGCUUGCAGCAAUCGUCAUAUGUUAGAUUAGCUUAUUAUAUGAGCGAUUAGUUUAUCUUGGUUUUGCUCCUAUAUUCUGUUGAGAAUCAAAUUUUCUUUUCUAAUUCCUUUUCUCUUUCUCUUGUUUUGCAUGAUCGACGGAAUGCCAAAGAGUCCCAAUGAGGGUCUCAAUGCGACUCGACAUCGCCGUUGGAAUUAGAACUCGCAUCUCCGCUUCAUCCAUUUUGCUCGCUUCCUGAAACGCAACUGGACUGAGAAAUCAAGGAUGUUUCCCUCCAUGUCUUGUUGAUUAGCCUUGCCUUAUACCUUACGUGUUUUGACUACUAACCUAUUAUUUGUAUUUGUUUAUUUGCCGUGUGUGUGGGGAUUUAAGUUAAGUGUACUUAUGAUAUUUAAUUCUUGGGUUGCUUAGAGAUCAUUAAUUUCCAGAACAAAAAGAUAUUUAAGAUAUCAUUUAGAGGGCUUAGAA
rnacentral:lncRNA from 1 species